rnacentral:rRNA from 1 species
GUCGCGGGCGCAGGAAAUUUGAGAGGAGCUGUCCUUAGUACGAGAGGACCGGGAUGGACGUUCCGCUGGUGUACCAGUUGUGCCGCCAGGCGCAUCGCUGGGUAGCUAUGAACGGAAGGGAUAAACGCUGAAAGCAUCUAAGUGUGAAGCCCCCCUCGAGAUGAGAUUUCCCAUUCCUAUAUGGAAGUAAGACCCCUGAAAGAUGAUCAGGUAGAUAGGCUGGAAGUGGAAGUGCAGCGAUGCAUGGAGCGGACCAGUACUAAUCGGUCGAGGACUUAACCAAG